GCACCGGCUAACUACGUGCCAGCAGCCGCGGUAAUACGUAGGGUGCAAGCGUUAUCCGGAAUUAUUGGGCGUAAAGAGCUCGUAGGCGGUUUGUCGCGUCUGCUGUGAAAACUGGAGGCUCAACCUCCAGCCUGCAGUGGGUACGGGCAGACUAGAGUGCGGUAGGGGAGAUUGGAAUUCCUGGUGUAGCGGUGGAAUGCGCAGAUAUCAGGAGGAACACCGAUGGCGAAGGCAGAUCUCUGGGCCGUAACUGACGCUGAGGAGCGAAAGCAUGGGGAGCGAACAGGAUUAGAUACCCUGGUAGUCCAUGCCGUAAACGUUGGGAACUAGAUGUAGGGACCAUUCCACGGUUUCUGUGUCGCAGCUAACGCAUUAAGUUCCCCGCCUGGGGAGUACGGCCGCAAGGCUAAAACUCAAAGGAAUUGACGGGGGCCCGCACAAGCGGCGGAGCAUGCGGAUUAAUUCGAUGCAACGCGAAGAACCUUACCAAGACUUGACAUAUACGAGAACGGGCUAGAAAUAGUUCACUCUUUGGACACUCGUAAACAGGUGGUGCAUGGUUGUCGUCAGCUCGUGUCGUGAGAUGUUGGGUUAAGUCCCGCAACGAGCGCAACCCUCGUUCUUUGUUGCCAGCACGUAAUGGUGGGAACUCAAAGGAGACUGCCGGGGUCAACUCGGAGGAAGGUGGGGAUGACGUCAAAUCAUCAUGCCCCUUAUGUC
rnacentral:rRNA from 2 species